GCCGCUCGAAACUUUGCACACCUCUACGCGGUGGGCGGUAGGCAACACAGUAUGAUGCUGUGGCUGAGGUGCAAAA
rnacentral:ribozyme from 1 species